GCUGCUGCUGGAGCGCUGCGAGUGAAGUAUUUACCGAGUGGCUAGCUGGAUUUACGUAGGGGAAAUGUGGAAUUAGCAUUCCAGCAGAAGAACAGGGAAUAUAAUUAUACAGCUGUUUGUGGUGAAACAUGUAUUUCAUAUACUGCUCUAUAAUGCACCUUUAUUUAAAUUAGGCUGCUUUUUACCGAACACGUCACUUACGGAUCAAAGGGGUUGUGAAUACAACGCUGGUUUUGACAGAGGUUGCAGUUUUCGGUUCUUUGAGGAUAACAUUGCUUAAAAAUGGACGUGCUGGCGAAUUACAGUAUUUUUCAGGAACUUCAACUUGUCCAUGACACCGGCUACUUCUCUGCAAUGCCGUCUUUGGAAGAGAACUGGCAGCAGAUAUUAAGGAAAUCAGUGAACCAACCACCAGCUUAGCUACUGAGACUUCUGUACCAGAUAGCUGUGUUGCUGCUGAGGAGGAUGAAAAAAAUCAAGAGCAACCAAAUUGCAGGAGCAACCAAAGAAGUUAAAAAAGAAGAGAUAAGACAUACAGGAUUUCCUGGAGUACAUAAAAAAAGCAGAUUCCAGAGCUAAGGGGAGAGACAAGAGGAUGCUGCAAUGCAUUCUGCAGUCAACAUCUGCUCUGCUGGGGCUGGUGGAAAGAAUGGUCACUGUCAUAGAGGGAGUCAAGGCUCAGGACAAAUAAUUAUAUGUUCUAAUAAUAACUGGAUUACUGGAUUAUUAGUAGUUUAUUUGUUUUGCUGAUAAUAUUGAAUUUGUAAAUAGUUGUUACUGCUAUGCAAUAACUAUUAUUAACUAAUAAUAACAGUUAACAAUAACUACUAUUAUAUGCAAUAAAUAUUCUUGUAGUUCACACAUUGUUUACUUUAUUAUUAUUUAUUUUUUAUUUUUUUUGGAGUGUUUUUCUUUAUAAAUAAAACUGUUUU